GCCUGGGGAGUACGGCCGCAAGGUUAAAACUCAAAUGAAUUGACGGGGGCCCGCACAAGCGGUGGAGCAUGUGGUUUAAUUCGAUGCAACGCGAAGAACCUUACCUGGUCUUGACAUCCACAGAACUUUCCAGAGAUGGAUUGGUGCCUUCGGGAACUGUGAGACAGGUGCUGCAUGGCUGUCGUCAGCUCGUGUUGUGAAAUGUUGGGUUAAGUCCCGCAACGAGCGCAACCCUUAUCCUUUGUUGCCAGCGAUUAGGUCGGGAACUCAAAGGAGACUGCCAGUGAUAAACUGGAGGAAGGUGGGGAUGACGUCAAGUCAUCAUGGCCCUUACGACCAGGGCUACACACGUGCUACAAUGGCGCAUACAAAGAGAAGCGACCUCGCGAGAGCAAGCGGACCUCAUAAAGUGCGUCGUAGUCCGGAUUGGAGUCUGCAACUCGACUCCAUGAAGUCGGAAUCGCUAGUAAUCGUGGAUCAGAAUGCCACGGUGAAUACGUUCCCGGGCCUUGUACACACCGCCCGUCACACCAUGGGAGUGGGUUGCAAAAGAAGUAGGUAGCUUAACCUUCGGGAGGGCGCUUACCACUUUGUGAUUCAUGACUGGGGUGAAGUCGUAACAAGGUAACCGUAGGGGAACCUGCGGUUG
rnacentral:rRNA from 1 species